rnacentral:lncRNA from 1 species
ACCUGAUUCUUGACGCCGGUGACGGCGCCGUGGUCCCUCCAGUCGAAGUCGGUGGGGAGGUCGUUGGUGGGGAGGAUGGGCGCCUGAUGGGAGGACGCCGGGGUCUGGCGGCGCAGGCCGAGGUAGGCGCUGCGGAACUCGGCGGGGGUGAGGUCUGAGAACUUGGUGAUCCCGUGGACGGCGGUGGGGUCCAGGCGCUGGUGCCGCGCCGCCCGCCGGAGGUUCGCCUUGAACACCUUGAGCCGGUGGGAUCGCUCCUCCUCGUCGGCGUAGGUCUUCCCGAACCGGCUCAUGAAGCUGGUGAAGUGCGCCUCCGCGUUAAGCGUCAGCCCGUCCUUCUCCAGGUCCACCACCUGCAGGAUCAGCGGAUCUUCAUCGGGUUCAGCACCCCCGCCGAAGGAGGAGGCGAUCACCACCGAGCACAGGAGGAGGAGGAGCGAGAGGAGGAGAGGGCGGCAGCGUAGAUGAUCCAUCGACGGAGGGCUUCGCGUCUCCACCACCUACAAUU